GGGGAAUAUUGCGCAAUGGGGGGAACCCUGACGCAGCCAUGCCGCGUGAAUGAAGAAGGCCUUCGGGUUGUAAAGUUCUUUCGGUAUUGAGGAAGGUUGAUGUGUUAAUAGCACAUCAAAUUGACGUUAAAUACAGAAGAAGCACCGGCUAACUCCGUGCCAGCAGCCGCGGUAAUACGGAGGGUGCGAGCGUUAAUCGGAAUAACUGGGCGUAAAGGGCACGCAGGCGGUUAUUUAAGUGAGGUGUGAAAGCCCUGGGCUUAACCUAGGAAUUGUAUUUCAGACUGGGUAACUAGAGUACUUUAGGGAGGGGUAGAAUUCCACGUGUAGCGGUGAAAUGCGUAGAGAUGUGGAGGAAUACCGAAGGCGAAGGCAGCCCCUUGGGAAUGUACUGACGCUCAUGUGCGAAAGCGUGGGGAGCAAACAGGAUUAGAUACCCUGGUAGUCCACGCUGUAAACGCUGUCGAUUUGGGGGUUGGGGUUUAACUCUGGCGCCCGUAGCUAACGUGAUAAAUCGACCGCCUGGGGAGUACGGCCGCAAGGUUA
rnacentral:rRNA from 1 species